rnacentral:rRNA from 1 species
GAACGCUGGCGGCGUGCCUAACACCUGCAAGUCGAACGGAGUCCAGCCUUUAAGACCUUCGGGUCAAAGAGGGGAAGACUGAGUGGCGGACGGGUGAGUAACACGUGGGCAACCUGGCUCAUAGAGGGGGAUAACAGAGAGAAAUUUCUGCUAAUACCGCAUAAGCACACACUGCCGCAUGGCAGAGGGUGAAAAGAGAAUCGCUAUGAGAUGGACCCGCGUCUGAUUAGCCAGUUGGCAGGGUAAGAGCCUACCAAAGCGACGAUCAGUAGCCGAUCUGAGAGGAUGAACGGCCACAUUGGGACUGAGACACGGCCCAAACUCCUACGGGAGGCAGCAGUGGGGGAUAUUGCACAAUGGGGGGAACCCUGAUGCAGCGACGCCGCGUGAGUGAAGAAGUAUUUCGGUAUGUAAAGCUCUAUCAGCAGGGAAGAUAAUGACAGUACCUGAAUAAGAAGCCCCGGCUAACUACGUG